GGGGUAAUUUUGGUACGUAGACGCCAUGGAUGGCGACUCGUGCCUGCUGCUGGCGUGAACCAGCAGUGUUUUUUGAAGAUUUCUACCCU
rfam:Glossina morsitans morsitans, isolate Yale, WGS project CCAG01000000 data, contig: ctg10022020